rnacentral:rRNA from 1 species
CGACGUAGGUAACCUGCCUUGUAGCGGGGGAGUAACUAUUGAAACGAUAGCUAAUACCGCAUAACAAUGGAUGACACAUGUCAUUUAUUUGAAAGGGGCAAUUGCUCCACUACAAGAUGGACCUGCGUUGUAUUAGCUAGUAGGUGAGGUAACGGCUCACCUAGGCGACGAUACAUAGCCGACCUGAGAGGGUGAUCGGCCACACUGGGACUGAGACACGGCCCAG